UUUCCGUAGGUGAACCUGCGGAAGGAUCAUUACCGUGCUGUGCCCCUCGCGGGUACAAACACCAACCCUUCUGUUGCAAAGCAAACACAGUUGCCUCGGCGGGACGGCCCCCCUGGGACCGCCGGUCAUCGCGACCGGAGAGCGCCCGCCGGAGGAAGCACCUCAAUACACUACAAUGAACCAACUUCAGUGAAGCAAAACAAAGAACAAAAACUUUCAACAACGGAUCUCUUGGUUCUGGCAUCGAUGAAGAACGCAGC
rnacentral:misc_RNA from 1 species